rnacentral:rRNA from 1 species
GACGAACGCUGGCGGCGUGCUUAACACAUGCAAGUCGAAUGAUGAUCUCCCGCAUGCGGGGGAGCUUAGUGGCGAACGGGUGAGUAAUACGUGAGUAACCUGCCCUUGACUCUGGGAUAAGCCUGGUAAACCGGGUCUAAUACUUGAUACUACUUCCUGCUGCACGGUGGGGGGUGGAAAGAGUUUUACUGGUUUUGGAUGGGCUCACGGCCUAUCAGUUUGUUGGUGGAGUAAUGGCUGACCAAGGCGACGACGGGUAGCCGGCCUGAGAGGGUGACCGGCGACCCUGGGACUGAGAGACGGCCCAGAAGCCUACGGGAGGCAGCGGUGGAGAAUAUUGCACAAUGGGCGGAAGCCUGAUGCAGAGACGCCGCGUGAGGGAUGACCGGCUUCGGGUUGUGAACCUCUUUCAGCGGGGAAGAAGCCACAAGUGACGGUACCUGCAGAAGAAGCGACGGCUAACUACGUG